GCUGUUAAACGAAAUAAAGCGGGGAGUGACAGCAAUGAAGCAGGUAGUCAGCGAGUUGAGGCAGUUAAAAGACUUGACGUGUGCAUGUGAUGUGAUGAUGCAGUUACUGAAUGG